rnacentral:ncRNA from 2 species
CGCGCAUAAGGUGAUGGCGUUCCACCUUUCCCAACCGCCUGCAGGCGUAACCUGCGGCUGAUGACGCCUGACAUUAU